AACGAACGCUGGCGGCAGGCUUAACACAUGCAAGUCGAACGCCCCGCAAGGGGAGUGGCAGACGGGUGAGUGACGCGUGGGAACAUACCCUUUCCUGCGGAAUAGCUCUGGGAAACUGGAAUUAAUACCGCAUACGCCCUACGGGGGAAAGAUUUAUCGGGGAAGGAUUGGCCCGCGUUGGAUUAGCUAGUUGGCGGGGUAAAGGCCUACCAAGGCGACGAUCCAUAGCUGGUCUGAGAGGAUGAUCAGCCACAUUGGGACUGAGACACGGCCCAAGCUCCUACGGGAGGCAGCAGUGGGGAAUAUUGGACAAUGGGCGCAAGCCUGAUCCAGCCAUGCCGCGUGAGUGAUGAAGGCCUUAGGGUUGUAAAGCUCUUUCACCGAUGAAGAUAAUGACGGUAGUCGGAGAAGAAGCCCCGGCUAGCUUCGUGCCAGCCGCCGCAUAAAAC
rnacentral:rRNA from 1 species